rnacentral:rRNA from 1 species
UAAUGUAUGGGGAUCUGCCCGAUAGAGGGGGAUAACUACUGGAAACGGUGGCUAUACCGCAUAAUGUCUACGGACCAAAGCAGGGGGCUCUUCGGACCUUGCACUAUCGGAUGAACCCAUAUGGGAUUAGCUAGUAGGUGGGGUAAAGGCUCACCUAGGCGACGAUCUCUAGCUGGUCUGAGAGGAUGAUCAGCCACACUGGGACUGAGACACGGCCCAG